UUGAUCAUGGCUCAGAUUGAACGCUAGCGGGAUGCCUUACACAUGCAAGUCGAACGGCAGCACGGACUUCGGUCUGGUGGCGAGUGGCGAACGGGUGAGUAAUGUAUCGGAACGUGCCCAGUAGCGGGGGAUAACUACGCGAAAGCGUAGCUAAUACCGCAUACGCCCUAAGGGGGAAAGCAGGGGAUCGCAAGACCUUGCACUAUUGGAGCGGCCGAUAUCGGAUUAGCUAGUUGGUGAGGUAAUGGCUCACCAAGGCGACGAUCCGUAGCUGGUUUGAGAGGACGACCAGCCACACUGGGACUGAGACACGGCCCAGACUCCUACGGGAGGCAGCAGUGGGGAAUUUUGGACAAUGGGGGAAACCCUGAUCCAGCCAUCCCGCGUGUGCGAUGAAGGCCUUCGGGUUGUAAAGCACUUUUGGCAGGAAAGAAACGGCGCGUGCUAAUACCAUGCGCAACUGACGGUACCUGCAGAAUAAGCACCGGCUAA
rnacentral:rRNA from 1 species